UGGGGAAUAUUGCGCAAUGGGCGAAAGCCUGACGCAGCCAUGCCGCGUGCGGGAAGAAGGCCUUCGGGUUGUAAACCGCUUUUGUCAGGGAAGAAACGGUCUGCACUAAUACUGCGGAUUAAUGACUGUACCUGAAGAAUAAGCACCGGCUAACUACGUGCCAGCAGCCGCGGUAAUACGUAGGGUGCAAGCGUUAAUCGGAAUUACUGGGCGUAAAGCGUGCGCAGGCGGCUUUGCAAGACAGAUGUGAAAUCCCCGGGCUUAACCUGGGAACUGCAUUUGUGGCUGCAAGGCUGGAGUGCGGCAGAGGGGGAUGGAAUUCCGCGUGUAGCAGUGAAAUGCGUAGAUAUGCGGAGGAACACCGAUGGCGAAGGCAAUCCCCUGGACCAUUACUGACACUGAGACACGAAAGCGUGGGUAGCGAACCGGAUUAGAUACCCAGGUAGUCCCUGAGCGGGCUGGCAAGGCGCAU
rnacentral:rRNA from 1 species